AUUGAACGCUGGCGGCAUGCCUAACACAUGCAAGUCGAACGGCAGCACAGCCCGCAAGGGUGGGUGGCGAGUGGCGGACGGGUGAGGAAUACAUGGGAAUCUACCCUGUCGUGGGGGAUGACGUAGGGAAACUUACGCUAAUACCGCAUACGACCUCCGGGUGAAAGCGGCGGACCGCAAGGCGUCGCGCGACUGGAUGAGCCCAUGUCGGAUUAGCUAGUUGGCGGGGUAAAGGCCCACCAAGGCGACGAUCCGUAGCUGGUCUGAGAGGAUGAGCAGCCAAACUGGAACUGAGACACGGUCCAGACUCCUACGGGAGGCAGCAGUGGGGAAUAUUGGACAAUGGGCGCAAGCCUGAUUCAGCAAUGCCGCGUGGGUGAAGAAGGCCUUCGGGUUGUAAAGCCCUUUUGUACGGGAAGAAAUCCUGUCGGUUAAUACCCGGCGGGGAUGACGGUACCGUAAGAAUAAGCACCGGCUAACUUCGUGCCAGCCGCCGCAGUAA
rnacentral:rRNA from 1 species